rnacentral:rRNA from 1 species
UGCGUAGGGAGCAAGCGUUGUCCGGAAUCAUUGGGCGUAAAGCGCGCGUAGGUGGCCUCAUAAGUCCGCUGUGAAAGUCAAAGGCUCAACCUUUGAAAGCCGGUGGAUACUGUGAGGCUAGAGUACGGAAGAGGCGAGUGGAAUUCCUGGUGUAGCGGUGGAAUGCGCGGAUAUCAGGAGGAACACCAAUAGCGAAGGCAGCUCGCUGGGACGUUACUGACACUGAGGCGCGAAAGCGUGGGGAGCGAACAGG